CAACCCUCGAACCCCUCCGGGGGGUCGGCGUUGGGGAUCGGCCGUCUGACGGCCGGCCCCGAAAUACAGUGGCGGUCUCGCCGCAGCCUCUCCUGCGCAGUAGUUUGCACACUCGCACCGGGAGCGCGGCGCGUCCACGUCCGUAAAACACCCCAAAUUCUGAAAGG
rnacentral:misc_RNA from 1 species